GCAUAUCAAUAAGCGGAGGAAAAGAAACCAACAGGGAUUGCCCUAGUAACGGCGAGUGAAGCGGCAACAGCUCAAAUUUGAAAUCUGGCGCAAGCCCGAGUUGUAAUUUGUAGAGGAUGUUUCUGGCGACGUGCCUUCCGAGUUCCCUGGAACGGGACGCCAUAGAGGGUGAGAGCCCCGUACGGUUGGAUGCCUAGCCUCUGUGAAACUCCUUCGACGAGUCGAGUAGUUUGGGAAUGCUGCUCUAAAUGGGAGGUAUACGUCUUCUAAAGCUAAAUACCGGCCAGAGACCGAUAGCGCACAAGUAGAGUGAUCGAAAGAUGAAAAGCACUUUGAAAAGAGGGUUAAAAAGUACGUGAAAUUGUUGAAAGGGAAGCGUUCAUGACCAGACUUGGGCAGGUUGAUCAUCCGUGGUUCUCCGCGGUGCACUCUGCCUGCCCAGGCCAGCAUCAGUUCGUCUCGGGGGAUAAAGGCUCUGGGAAUGUGGCUCCUUCGGGAGUGUUAUAGCCCACUGCGUAAUACCCUGGGAUGGACUGAGGUUCGCGCUCUGCAAGGAUGCUGGCGUAAUGGUCAUCAACGACCCGUCUUGAAACACGGACCAAGGAGUCGUCUUCGUAUGCGAGUGUUCGGGUGUCAAACCCCUACGCGUAAUGAAAGUGAACGUAGGAGAGAGCUUCGGCGCAUCUCCGACCGAUCCUGAUGUUCUCGGAUGGAUUUGAGUAAGAGCAUACGGGGCCGGACCCGAAAGAAGGUGAACUAUGCCUGUAUAGGGUGAAGCCAGAGGAAACUCUGGUGGAGGCUCGCAGCGGUUCUSACGUGCAAAUCGAUCGUCAAAUAUGGGCAUGGGGGCGAAAGACUAAUCGAACCUUCUAGUAGCUGGUUUCCGCCGA
rnacentral:rRNA from 1 species